ACGGGAGGCAGCAGUGGGGAAUAUUGGGCAAUGGAGGCAACUCUGACCCAGCAACGCCGCGUGAAGGAUGAAGGUUCUAGGAUUGUAAACUUCUGUCGCAGGGGACGAAGAAUGACGGUACCCUGUAAGAAAGCCCCGGCAAACUAUGUGCCAGCAGCCGCGGUAAUACAUAGGGGGCGAGCGUUGUCCGGAAUGACUGGGCGUAAAGGGAGUGUAGGUGGCUUUGUAAGUUAUGAGUGAAAGCCUGCGGCUCAACUGCAGAACUGCUCAUAAAACUACUUGGCUUGAGUACAGGAGAGGUAAGCGGAAUUCCUAGUGUAGCGGUGGAAUGCGUAGAUAUUAGGAAGAACACCAGAGGCGAAGGCGGCUUACUGGACUGAAACUGACACUGAGGCUCGAAAGCGUGGGGAGCAAACAGGAUUAGAUACCCUGGUA
rnacentral:rRNA from 1 species